AUUUUUGGCCACUCCCCUCGACUGGAUUUGUACUGUAUUUGUUUUGCAAUGAAGAAACCCACUUAAGGACUUUUCUUCAUAUUUGGAAACCACCAUAACAUCCAGUCUGAAGACAUCAAUUGAAGACCUGUACUUCAUGUUAAACCAAGGAAAUCUCCACCUAUUAAUUCUUGUUAUCAAUAUUUCCCAAAUUAUACAAAAAUUAUGUAAUGACCAAGCAUGUUCCCCCAAUUCUAGCCUUGUCCAAAACUCUGCACACUCUUGACGUAUAUGAGCUGUUUUAAGGGAUGUUAUUGAACAUAAAUGUGGCCAAGUUUGUUUGAAAGAUUUGGUCUUGUAAUUCUGUGGCUUAUGAAAGAAAGUCUGUUGCUAAUAAUGGAAGCGCAGACUUGGGGAAUGAUGGCACAAGCACAAUUCAACAUUAAUCUGUACUGCAGCUGAUCUGGAUCCACAUGCUUGCUUGGCUGUGUUCGAACCGGUGACCGGUGGUUCCCAAAACCUGGAGCACCCUAACAGUAACACAGUUUGGAUCCCUGCGUCUGAAAUUGCCUCAUGCCAUUAAUCUGGUGUUUGGUAAGGAACAAGAUUGGGAACCACAGGUGUAGACCAUCUGAAUAUUUUUAGAUGACCUUUUGAGACCGAGUCUAUGAAAAACACGGCUGUGAAAAGUCUUUUUAUUUGUAAUUUUGUGAUAAUGUGAAGAACAUAUAAUCUUUAUAUCUUUAAUAUUGACUGAGUAAGAUCAUGUUAGAGAUUGAAAUUAAUUAAGUUCAAACUUUGAUUCUUCUAAAAUUAGAUUAAGAUUUUAGCCUUCAUUUCAUAGACAGGGUCACAUAUAUAUUUUAACAGUUUUAAUAAAUACAACAAUAUUAAUAAACUAAAAUAAUAUCAAUCAAAUUCCAACUCCUUUGAGUUUUGUUUCGAGGCCAGAAUAUAAGUUUUUAGAUUUGGUCUGUAAGUAACAUUUAAAGGUGAGGUGGAUUUUCUUAAAACAUGUUGUUUCUUUCUAAAGGUCUGUAACAAUACAAAGAGUUGGAGAAAUAAUCCCGAUAGAAGUCAAAUAAAUGUAUUUAUUCAAACAAACAUAAUAAUGGGUCUGAACAUAAUACACAAAAGAUAAAAAAGAUUCAGUACACAGAAUUUCCUCAUUCAUAAGAGCAUGAAAUUCUAAAUUUUAAUGCAACGUCCACUUGGUCAUGUGAUAUUUAAAGCCUGUUCAUACCAAAGAUGAUAACUAUAAAGAUAAAAUAAAUUGUUUCAACAUUUAAGACAAUAUCAGUC